rnacentral:rRNA from 1 species
UACGUAGGGGGCAAGCGUUAUCCGGAUUUACUGGGUGUAAAGGGAGCGUAGACGGCAGUGCAAGUCUGGAGUGAAAGGCGGGGGCUCAACCCCCGGACUGCUCUGGAAACUGUACGGCUGGAGUGCAGGAGAGGUAAGUGGAAUUCCUAGUGUAGCGGUGAAAUGCGUAGAUAUUAGGAGGAACACCAGUGGCGAAGGCGGCCUGCUGGACGACAACUGACGGUGAGGCGCGAAAGCGUGGGGAGCAAACAGG